GGAGAGGAAACCCCGAUUAUAGGCCCAGUGGCCAAAAAGAGCCCAGGGGUGGGGAUGGUCCAGAGGCAGAGGGUGGGCUGGGGGCCUCAGGGAUUACUGCUGUGAGCAGCCUUUGCACAGUGCUCUGGGCUAGGGAGCAGCAGCAGAAUGGCUUUACCUUUUGGCUCUGUCCCUUGGGCCCAUAAUAUCUUCAUGUUUGCUUCCUCACCUGCAAACGAGUAGUCAUGGACAGCAAUGAGUAUCACUGUUGCUCUAGGACUUGUAGCCCAUGUAAUAAGACAAGAAAAGGCAAAACAUGGAAAGGAGAUUAAAUGAUGAUGAUUAUUGUCUACCGAAAACCUCAAGAGAAUCACCAGUAAGAAUCCCAGGAGAAUGAGGUUGCUUCCUUGGCCACUUCAGGGUGGAGCUUCUGUGAGU
rnacentral:lncRNA from 1 species